rnacentral:rRNA from 1 species
AUGGGGAGCACCAUUUCCAUGGCUCUCCUCUUCGUCUUUGCAGUCCUGUUGCUCAACGCCCAUCUCGGGUCGUGCGGCUGCUUCAAGCGCAUCUUCGCAUUCGGCGACUCCAUCAUCGACACGGGCAACUUCCGCUCAGGUUCGAUCUGGGGGCCCCCUUAUGGAGGGACCUACUUCCACCAUCCCACAGGCCGCUGCUCCGACGGGCGUCUCAUUGUGGACUUCUACGCGCAAGCGUUGGGCCUGCCACUGCUGCCGCCGAGCGGGCCCGAGGAGAAGACGGGGAAGUUCCCGACCGGUGCCAACUUCGCCGUGUUAGGCUCUAUUGCCCUGAGCCCGGACUACUACAGUAAAAGGUAUAACUUUAGUAUGCCGCACUGGUGCCUCGACUGGGAGCUCGGUUCCUUCAAGACAGUGCUCGCACGGAUAGCUCCUGGAAAAGCUGGCACCAAACGUCUCCUCAGCGAGUCCCUCAUCGUCUUUGGCGAGAUCGGUGGCAACGACUAUAACUUCUGGUUCUACGAUCGCCAGCGCAGCCGUGACACGCCCUAUAAGUAUAUGCCCGACAUCAUCGCCCGCAUAGGCUCCGGCGUCCAGGAGGUGAUCAAUCUCGGUGCCAAGACGAUCCUUGUUCCUGGAAACUUCCCCAUCGGGUGUGUCCCGGUUUACCUGAGUGGGCACAAGACUAACAAUUCUGCGGACUAUGACCAAUUCGGCUGCCUCAAGUGGUACAACGUGUUCUCCCAGAAGCACAACCAACUGUUGAGGCAGGAGGUCGGCCGGCUCAGGUCUCGCAACCCUGGCGUGAAGGUCAUCUACGCCGACUACUAUGGCGCCGCCAUGGAGUUUUUCAGGAACCCCAAGAGGCAUGGCAUCGACGACCCCCUGGUGGCGUGUUGUGGCGGCAACGGCCCCUACGGCACCGGCCGUGGGUGCGACCAGAACGCGAAGGUUUGCCGUGACCCGUCCAGGUUCGCCAACUGGGACCAGGUUCACAUGACAGAGAAGGCCUACAGUGUCAUCGCUAAUGGGGUGCUCAACGGCCCGUAUGCGGACAUUCCGUUGCUCCAUGCUUGCUAG